ACAAGUUUUUUAGCUCAGCUUGACAUAAGCAAUGCAACCUGUGCUCAUCCUCUGAACACUGAAACAUUUCUUUAUCUCCACUAAUCUCCCCAACAGUCCUUUUAUAAAUCCUUAUAAAAGCUUGUAAUUGUGGCCACAGAAGAGAAGUACUCCUUUUUAUGAGCCACAGGAUUCUGCAUUUGGCUAAUCUACCUGCAGUGUAUUCCCUCAGAGAGAUCUUCACUGUAAAAAGUUCCUUUUAUGUCUUUACAGUUUUGGCAGGACUGAGGAGUUAGUCAGAAGGAAUGGGUAAAUACUGACUGGCCUGAAAGUGAGUAAAGGCACCAAAGAGAAGGGCAGUGGUUUAGCACUUCUGAGUGGAAACAUGGACGGGAUUCACUUUGGGACAACUUCAGACUGAUAAUUAGAGAGAAGCACUGUGAUGUGACAGAUCCUUGUUACUCCCACAAAGGUUUCUACAAUGUAGCAUCUACUAGUUUCCAUUGCUUCAAGGU